rnacentral:rRNA from 1 species
UACGUAGGGUGCAAGCGUUGUCCGGAAUUAUUGGGCGUAAAGAGCUCGUAGGCGGUUCGUCGCGUCGGCUGUGAAAACCUGAGGCUCAACCUCAGGCCUGCAGUCGAUACGGGCGGACUUGAGUACUGCAGGGGAGACUGGAAUUCCUGGUGUAGCGGUGAAAUGCGCAGAUAUCAGGAGGAACACCGGUGGCGAAGGCGGCUCUCUGGACCGAUACUGACGCUGAGGCGCGAAAGCGUGGGGAGCAAACAGG